UUACGGCCAAAUCACUUUGAAACACAGAGUCUCGUACGAUCACCGAAGUUAAGCAACGUCAAGCCUGGUCAGUUCCUAGAUCGGUGACCUCUUGGGAUUACCAUGAGUGGUAA